GAACAUGUCACUGCUGCGGGAGCUCAUAGAACUCCUCGAGUUGACUUUUCUUCUGUGUCUCUCUCUUUUGCACCGCUCUCUGUGGCAAAGCUCGCAUGGAGAACACUUGUUGCCAACCUGAAACUCCCAGCUUCCAAAACUACCCGCCACCAACACCGGCAUGGCUCAAUCCCUCGUCGGCCUCAUCGUCAACGUCGCAAAUGCCGACGUGGGUCAAAGUGGCCAUAGGCAUCGCCGUUCUCUUGCUCUGCUGCAUUCUUUACAUAUUCCUGAAACGUCGCGA